rnacentral:lncRNA from 1 species
CUAGGUACACCACAUGUAUAUCUGGUUGGUUCAUUUGUUAUGCUUUUCAAAAUUUUCACGACUUCUUUGAUAUAGUUUUUAAAUUAAUAUUAUACUAAAAUGCAUAAAAUGGAUAUAUUUUCACUUUAAAUAGAACAGCCACAUGAUUUUCUAUUUGAAAACUAUGCAUAGCUAGUCUUGAACAUUUAGAAUCCCAAAACAUAUAAAUUAUUUUUGGUCUAUUAGUUAUUAAUUUUUGAACUUUUGUUAAAACAAAAUCUCCAAAUAUACAAAAUAUAGGAUUUUUUUUCUCAAAAAUAUAUUAGAAUGAUUAAAAAUAAUGAUGAUAUGUUUUGUAUUUAUAAUUUAAAAGAAGAUAAAAACGUAGAAACUAAUAGUGUCCUAGCCCUUUUUCAAAAAAAAAAAAAACUAAUAGUGUCCGGAAUCAAUAGUUCGUGGAUAAUCUAUACCUUUACUUUAAUAUGUCAAAUCUUGUAUGUUUUUUUUUCUCGACAAACAAACCCUUUCGGCGUUAAAUACCUAAAAUAACUAUUUAAGUAAGAAAUUAAUAUUUAGCCAAAAGAAAGUUAAAAAAUAUUUAAUGAUGUAAUUUCAUAUGUAUUGGUAAUUAAUUGUUCAUUUAAUGUGAACCCAACGUACGAUUCUUACAGAAUCACAAAAAAAAAAAUCUUGACUUCACAAUUUAAUACAUACUUAUCAAAUAGGAAAUCAUUUAUCUCCACAUAAUAGACAAAAAAUCAUUUUUCACCACCAAUUCCCAGUAUCCUAUAAUCCUUGUGUCUAUCAUCGGUCACUAUCAUGACUUAACCAACAUGUUAUACUCGUUUGUAUUGGCAAACUUAAAUCAUCAGUGCUGACGCAACAACUUAUUUGCUGGCAUCCCUUCUUACGUAUGUACUAAAAACAAAUGUUGUCAAAGACUAAAUUUAGGUUCCUG